rnacentral:rRNA from 1 species
CCUACGGGUGGCAGCAGUGGGGAAUAUUGGACAAUGGGGGCAACCCUGAUCCAGCCAUGCCGCGUGUGUGAAGAAGGCCCUCGGGUUGUAAAGCACUUUCAGUGAGGAAGAACGCCUGGUGGUUAAUACCCAUCAGGAAAGACAUCACUCACAGAAGAAGCACCGGCUAACUCCGUGCCAGCAGCCGCGGUAAUACGGAGGGUGCGAGCGUUAAUCGGAAUUACUGGGCGUAAAGCGCGCGUAUGUGGCUUGAUAAGCCGGUUGUGAAAGCCCCGGGCUCAACCUGGGAACGGCAUCCGGAACUGUCAAGCUAGAGUGCAGGAGAGGAAGGUAGAAUUCCCGGUGUAGCGGUGAAAUGCGUAGAGAUCGGGAGGAAUACCAGUGGCGAAGGCGGCCUUCUGGACUGACACUGCCACUGAGGUGCGAAAGCGUGGGUAGCAAACAGGAUUAGAUACCCCAGUAGUC